AUUGAACGCUAGCGGCAGGCCUAACACAUGCAAGUCGAGCGAGAGGCGGACGGGGGAGAAAUGUAUGGGGACUGCCCGAUAGAGGGGGAUAACUAUAGGAAACGGAGGCUAAUACCGCAUACUCUCGUAUGACCCAUAUGGGAUUAGCUCGUAGGUAAGGUAAUGGCUUACCUAGGCGACGAUCCCUAGCUGGUCUGUGAGGAUGAUCAGCCACACUGGGACUGAGACACGGCCCAGACUCCUACGGAGGCAGCAGUGGGGAAUAUUGCACAAUGGGCGCAAGCCUGAUGCAGCCAUGCCGCGUGUAUGACGAAGGCCUUAGGGUUGUAAAGUACUUUCAGUCGAGAGGCGGUACCGACAGAAGAAGCACCGGCUAACUCCGUGCCAGCAGCCGCGGUAAUUC
rnacentral:rRNA from 1 species